CAUGCAUUUCCUGAAUUCUGAAUUUCACUUGUCAAUGUGUCAUUUUCAACAAAAGAUGUUAUUGCACGGAACUUCCUCAUAUCUUUCAAAAUCAAUUGGAAUAUUCUUUGCAGAAUUCAAUAGAAAGAGUAAUAUCAAUAUUUAAGUAAUGUUACACUACUCAAUAAUAUUUAAACGAUUAUAAUUUUUUUAAAAUUUACCGUUUGAUUGAAAACUUAUAUAGAUUGUACAUAUAAAAUUUUAAAGAAAUCUAAGUUAUUUGAUAGUUAAUUAGUUAUUUUUCGAUCAAGUUUCGGAUUACCAGUGUCUCGCUAAUGAUGUGCUCUUCUUUAAAUAUUCAUUUUCAAGAGUCAGAAAUAAGAAUCUACAUACUUUACGUGUAAGAAAUAAAUAACAAGUCUUGUGGGUCUCGAGCAUACACACACUAUAUAUCUUAUUUUAUAUUUUUAUAUAUGAUACAAAUUGAUCAAUACUAUGCCAACUCCAUCCCAAUUUAAAAAUGAUAUUAAUUACUGUCCGUGUCAACUUCUACCUGAGAACUACUAAAUAUGAGAGCACCUCUUACUCCUUCUCAAUCAUACAACCAGUGAUUACAACAGUAUUCAUGGUAUUCAUGCACAUAAUCAAGGUAUUCAUGCCCUAAUUAAUCAGAGGAGUUUUGCUGCACUUGCUUGCUUAUUUGUUGAAACAACAAAUCUUCUAGUUAAAUUGGAAUGGAGCCUAAGUAAAUAUUCAAAAUACCAUCUCGUUUUUAUUUUAAACUUUUACUAUGUUUUGUAGUUCAAUAUAUUAACAUGUUAUACGAUAUACUCUCUAUAUUAAUACAUCUUACUCUUUUAAAAUCAUCCUUCUAAUCACCCUUUCGUCCAAAUUAGAGACUAAAAUGGAUGGAAAGGAAACCCCUUAGUUACUCUUGUAAAAUCAAUGUAUUUCAUUUUUUUUUUAAAACCCUUAAUAAUUGAUUUUCAAGGUCAAUUUCAAGUGUGUUUUUGAAAAUUCAUGGAUAAUGAACGUACAAUAAUAUCCACCAUUCACUGUUUAGGCCU
rnacentral:lncRNA from 1 species